rnacentral:rRNA from 1 species
GACGGAGGAUGCAAGCGUUAUCCGGAAUGAUUGGGCGUAAAGCGUCUGCAGGUGGCAGUUCAAGUCUGCUGUCAAAGACCGGGGCUUAACUUCGGAAAGGCAGUGGAAACUGAAGAGCUAGAGUAUGGUAGGGGUAGAGGGAAUUCCCGGUGUAGCGGUGAAAUGCGUAGAUAUCGGGAAGAACACCAGUGGCGAAAGCGCUCUACUGGGCCAUAACUGACACUGAGGGACGAAAGCUAGGGGAGCGAAAGGG